AGGCCGCCGGGGGGAUAUAACCGGCAGCUGAGCUGGCCUUUUUGUGUCUGCAAGCUUCGGCCCGGCUGCCGCCGCCCAUAAGCUACCGGGAGGAGCUUUACGACUUCCCCGCCUGCAGGGCCGGGCGUAGCAAGGACCAGACGCGUCACGAGCAGGCGCUGCGCCCCAACCGGCCGGCUCCUGGCGGGCCCGUUGCGGAGAAGCUCCUCAAUGGCCAGCGGCAGCUGCAGCCUCCGCCGUGCACUCGCCUCACCUGAUCCCGGGAUGGUGAUUGCUCACGCCAAAGCCUUGGACCCCUCCCGGCCUGUGACCUUUGUGACCAACUCCAACUAUGCAGCGGACAAAGGGGCUCCGUAUGUGGAUGUGAUCUGUGUGAACAGCUGCUACUCUUGGUAUCAUGACUACAGGCACCUGGAGUUGAUUCAGCUGCAGCUGGCCACCCAGUUUGAGAAGUGGUGAAAGAUGUUUCAGAAACCCAUUAUUCAGAGCAAGUACAGAGCGGAAAUGAUUGCAGGGUUUCAUUAGAUAAGACAGUGGCACUCCGAGAGGCUCAAAAGGAAGCUUCCUCCCCCAAAAGCCAUCCCCAGCAUAACCGCAAAACAAAAAUGGCGCAUCUCAGAAGGACCUUGGUGGUGUCGUUGGAAGGUUGAUCAACAAGAAUGACACCUGCAAGCUGUAAUUGCACUUGCAUUCCCUGACAUACGGGGGCAAGUCGUAUAUCCUCAUCCAGAUAUGUGGGAAGUUCCGUGAAUACAUCUGCAAAUAUCUUAUGAUGAGAUGCUCUUCUCCCCGCCGGGCGCCUGACUGUAGUGAAGGGAAGCUUGAACGUGAACACCAACCGGGCUUACGCUGACCUCCUCUCCUACCCAUGGUUUCGUGCCCCUGUGUCUGUCCCACUGCCAAAGUAACCUGAAAUUACUAGAGGAGGUGAGCGCUGAAGUCAAUGUCCUCAGAGCCAAGGAUAUUGUCCUCUAGAGCCAAGUCCACCCCUUUACUUGGCAGGGCCUCCAAGAGAUGAGCUGCUGUCCACCCCAUCAACCCUCACCACCAGACCACCAGGAAGGACAGACGCUCAGGUGCCAGAGCUGCUGCCACCGUCCCCCAAGACACCACAAACAGUCCCUUCACUGCUUCCAGUUGUGUCCGCCUCUGCGCGCUGCCCCCAAACUCCUUGCAGAUUUGAAAACUGAGGAAUAAAAAUGAGCAACACUUGCCCUGAGCCGCCUAUUGCUCCAUUCACAUCCUGAUUUUCUGGGUCACCAAUUUUCCAGUUUUUUUUAAAUUAAACUUUUCAUUUUCA